rnacentral:misc_RNA from 1 species
CAGAGUUCAUGCCCUCACGGGUGACUCUCCAACCCUAUGUUAUUGUACCUUUGUUGCUUUGGCGAGCCGCUUCGGCCACCGGCUUAUGCUGGUGUGUGCUCGCCAGAGGACCCCAAACUCUGAAUAUUAAUGUCGUCUGAGUACUAUAUAAUAGUUA